UGGAAUCACAAUCUGAGCCGAAGGCAGAUGCCUAAUGACCAAGCCACCCAGGAGCCCAUUGAGAACCUGCACCAUUUGUGAAGGCCACAGCCCUCGGUGAGGACCACUUCCUUUUCUAGGAAGAGAAAGGGGUCCAACAGUCCCCCCACAGAACUGCUGCAGCUCGCUGACAUAAAGGAAGCAAGGACUCCGGAGAUGGCCUGGGUAGGACUUAAGACAGACUUCUCCCCGACUUCUGACCUUCUGACCGGUCGUUCUCAGCCCGCUGCUCAGUAUAAUUGCCUGAGGCACAUUACAUCCUGACUGUUUGGUAAGCUGGUGGCCCUGCUUCCGGGACCUGGUUGUUCUGCCUUAGGGGCCUGGAACUGGAGCGAAUUCUCAGCAGAUCACAUUAGUGCUGUCAUCUCUAGAGUGCAAGGGCAGAAGUUCUCCGUCCUGGAACUGUCGCUAAGCUGCAAGCUACUAUUAUCGUUUUUUCCUUGCAAACAUGACACAUGUUUGUUCUCUCAGGCAGAAGAGCGUCCCACGGACUUUUCCGGAUCCAACUUAAUCUUAUUUCCUGAGGCAUUUUUACGGGUUUUUAAAACAGUAGCUAUGGGGCGCCUGAGUGGCUCAGUUGGUGAAGCGUCUGCCUUAGGCUCGGGCCAUGAUCCCAGGGUCCUGGGAUGGAGCCCCACAUCGGGCUCCCUGCUCAGCAGGCAGCCUGGG